AGCGAACGCUGGCGGCAGGCUUAACACAUGCAAGUCGAGCGGGCAUCUUCGGAUGUCAGCGGCAGACGGGUGAGUAACACGGGGGAACGUACCCUUCGGUUCGGAACCACUCUGGGAAACUGGAGCUAAUACCGGAUACGCCCUUAUGGGGAAAGGUUUACUGCCGAAGGAUGGGCACGCGUCAGGUUGGCUAGUCGGUGGGGUAACGGCCUACCAAGGCGGCGAUCAGUAGCUGGUGUGAGAGGAUGAUCCGACACCCUGGGACUGAGACACGGCCCAGACUCCUACGGGAGGCAGGAGAGGCGAAUAGUGGAACAUGGCGGCAGUGAUGAACGAGCCAUGCCGCGUGAGUGAUGAAGUCAGUAGGGUAGUAGAGCUCUUUUGUCCGGGACGAUAAUGACGGUACCUGAAGAAUAAGCCACGGCUAACUUCGUG
rnacentral:rRNA from 1 species